rnacentral:tRNA from 1 species
GCACUUGUAGCUUAGUGGAUAGAGCGCUUACUUCCUAAGUUGAAGGUCGUAGGUUCGACCCCUACCUGGCGCA